rnacentral:rRNA from 1 species
UACGGAGGGUGCUAGCGUUGUUCGGAAUCACUGGGCGUAAAGGGCGUGUAGGCGGUCUGUUAAGUCUGAUGUGAAAUCCCCUCGCUCAACGAGGGAACUGCGUCGGAUACUGGCAGACUCGAGUACCGGAGAGGAAGGUGGAAUUCCCGGUGUAGCGGUGAAAUGCGUAGAUAUCUGGAGGAAUACCGGUGGCGAAGGCGGCAUCCUGGACCGGCAUUGACGCUGAGGCGCGAAAGCCAGGGGAGCAAACGGG